UACGAAGGGAGCUAGCGUUACUCGGAAUCACUGGGCGUAAAGCGCAUGUAGGCGGAAAUACAAGUCAGAGGUGAAAGCCCUGGGCUCAACCCAGGAAUUGCCUUUGAAACUGUAUUUCUUGAGUAUGACAGAGGAUGGUGGAAUUUCUAGUGUAGAGGUGAAAUUCGUAGAUAUUAGAAAGAACACCAGUGGCGAAGGCGACCAUCUGGGUCAUAACUGACGCUGAGAUGCGAAAGCGUGGGGAGCGAACGGG
rnacentral:rRNA from 1 species